ACCCAACCAAUAAACAAUAUCUGUUUAAUAUUACAACUACUAAUAAAGCUGGAAAUGGAUCUACUACUAACAUAAUUGUUGGAUUCCAAUCAAAUUCAAAAAUUUCAAUCACUUAUCAAGAAUCUUAUCACAUAAGCAACGACUGGAGUUUCCAAUUCCUUUUACCAGCUCAUCAAAUAUGUACUGGAGUAUCACUUGCUAAUAUUACAGUAGCUGGUUGUACUGUUAGUCAACACAGCACUUGCUAUUCAUCAACAAACGUAUCAAUUAGUAGUAGUGCUUAUGAUAACAUUUCCAUUAUU